rnacentral:tRNA from 3 species
UGGGGCAUCGUCUAAUGGCAGGACAACGGUCUUUGGAACCGUCGGUCGUGGUUCGAAUCCACGUGCCCCAGCCA